GACGAACGCUGGCGGCGUGCUUAACACAUGCAAGUCGAGCGGUAAGGCCCUUUCGGGGGUACACGAGCGGCGAACGGGUGAGUAACACGUGGGUGACCUGCCCUCAGCUCUGGGAUAAGCCUGGGAAACCGGGUCUAAUACUGGAUAUGACUCCAUGACGCAUGUUGUGGGGUGGAAAGCCUUGUGCGGCUGAGGAUGGGCCCGCGGCCUAUCAGCUUGUUGGUGGGGUGANGGCCUACCAAGGCGACGACGGGCAGCCGGCCUGAGAGGGCGACCGGCCACACUGGGACUGAGACACGGCCCAGACUCCUACGGGAGGCAGCAGUGGGGAAUCUUGCGCAAUGGGCGAAAGCCUGACGCAGCGACGCCGCGUGAGGGAUGACGGCCU
rnacentral:rRNA from 1 species